AUGCCAAUGUCUUUCCGUCUCCCCUUUGUCUCUGUCUUUCUCCCUUUCACCUCAUAUCCUUCUCUCCCUUCUCUUUCACUCUCUCUCUCUCUCAUUCUCUCCCUCCCAGUGGGUAUAGCCAUCGGGGUGACUGUACUGAUAGUACUUCUCCUUGGGGGUCUGGUCUAUGCUGCCCAGAGGAAGGCCAGUGUCACGGAGACAAUAAGCCGCAUCAUGCCAAGUAUGCCUAGCUUCAGGGGUUCCCCAUAUCAAAGCUCUGACCCAUCAAAGGAGGAGGGGAGUGACCCGGGCCCAAGCAUCAAAGCGGAGCCCUGUACUGCUGUUCCUAUGGAGGAGGCAGGGGGGAAGAGUUUUGAGAACCCCGCCUAUGCAGCUGAGGGGGAUGAGAGACCUGCCCCUAACGGCAUCACUACUGCCAUCCUUGUGCCCAAUGGGACAGCAAUGGAGAACAUUGAGAACCCGUUGUAUGCUGAGGUUCGUGUGAUAGCUGAGCCUGACCCUGAGCCCGACGCUAGCACCACACCUGCUAAUACUUUAUCAGUCGAGGGGGCCUUUGAGAAUCCAGGUGAGGAACUGACUCCCGAGGAACCAGUCGCCGACGAGUCACUAAAGUUCGAACCCAUUCCUGAUGACAAUGCCGACGACAGUUUCAUAAACCCAAUGUUCUCGGAUCCCACUUACCCAUCCACCCCAGCAGACUCCUUCAUUUGACCUCCACACCAGGCAAAUCAGUGGACAAAACAGGACUAAACUGAACACUAGGACUAAAUCAUACCUCUCCCACCUUUCCCUGGUUGUAAAAUGGGUUAUUAAAGCUAACCUACUGUCAUUUUUUCCUAAAUAUAUUUCAUGAUGCAAUGAUGUGCCAAAUAUGUGAUUUAGUGUAUUAUUAUCGGGUAAGCAUUAGAAUAAUGUCUCUACUGACGAUGGAUCAGCUCCUAUAUUGUGGAAUACUUAUAAUUUAAAGGUAAGAUUUGAAUGGAGAAAGCUGAUCCGAGAGCAGUGCUGCCUUUCUUUUGAUCAAAUCAGUAUGGACACAUUCUCCAACUUAACACUGAGUGAACAUUAACUCUACAUGUUGUUCUGGAAACGCAUGUUACAUCUUCAGCCGUUGUGAGAACAAUGCAUCGUUAAAACACUCAUAAGUUCCAUUGCUAUCGGGAAACUGGGGCCCAGAGCAGUUAAAGGAAAUGAUGCGAUAGUGGGUGAACGGUAGAACGGAUGUUUCUAGAAUGAUGUGCCUUAGUUUAUAACUAAUGCUAUAUUUUUAUGAUUACAAUCUGUGAUUAAUGAUAUUUGAUUGACUCUCGUCAUAAAGCGAAACAAACUGUUGAUGUAUAUGAUGUUGUAAAUUAUCUUGUUUGAUACUGUAUGAUUAAACAGUUUGUUGUUGAGUUUCAUAAGUGUUCUUGGAGAUGAACCUUGGCAACCAGGCCUUCGAUUUCUUCAUCCCAUCAAUUAUGAGAAGGGCCCUGUGUAUUGCUUAAUGUCACAUGACCUGAAUAUUUUGCUUUAUUUAAAGCUUUUUCAUCAAUCUGUCCCCUUUUUUUUUUAUGUCAGAUGGUCCAGCACCAUCCUCGGACAGUUUGUAGCGGUAUUUAUUAGAGAGAGUAAAGAAAGUUUUUUUUUCGGCCGCCAGGCAGGUAUUAACCAUGCCAAAAGGAAAAGAGUAGAAUAGAGAGAGUACCACUACCAGACCCACACACAUCAGCAGAAGAGACUGCCUAGAGGGUAGCCUGUUUACCAGAUAGCCAGUGGAGAGAAAAAAAGAAUACACACCAUAUAAAACCCACAUCACAGCACAGGGGUAACCCAAACAAGAAUACCUCAUACAAUAAUACUAAUACUGGCAGAGCAAUUGAACAGCAACUUCAUACAAGAACGAACCCAGUCAUCAACAUAGGAUUUGCAAUAAUCUGUAUUAUUUUCUAGUGGAUGAGUGCAGAGGGUAUGAAUGUGGGGGGUGUUCAUCGACACAACAAAGGCCUUAAAAAUGUCCACAGUCUUCUCGGCUACAUGUCAUUAGUACACCCCACCUCAAUACAGUUCACAUAAUAUACAACUUGCAAGCAACCUACUAAAAUGUCCAUCCAAACACUUCUGGCAGGGAAAUAAUAGUCCAGCUCUAAUGAACUUCAAUGGGAAGUGCAUUUGCAAAAUAGAGAGUCUGUUGCAGGGUAAAGCACUGGAAUGAGAGGGAAGAGAAAGAGAGAAAAAAAGAUAACAAGAGAGAUCUUAGCUGUGGUCUUCAGGCGUGCAGGUGUACUGUCUGACUGUCCGAUGGUUUGUUGGUUUGUAUGUUAAAGCUUCGCAACAAUGUUGCUCUAAUCCAUGCGAUCCAUAACGGGCGCGGUCCCAAACGAAAACAACCACGACCUAGAGCGAUUACACCGAUGAUUGAGUUAAAUACUCAAUAAACUACACACGCUGAAAACAAACAAAACUUCUGCAGCACAGCACACACAAUCAAACUGUCGCACCACCCAAGAGCCCUCCACAAAGAGCUGAAUGAGCCCUCUUUA
ensembl:lncRNA